rnacentral:rRNA from 1 species
GAGUUUGAUCUUGGCUCAGAUUGAACGCUGGCGGCAUGCCUUACACAUGCAAGUCGAACGGCAGCACGGGAGCUUGCUCCUGGUGGCGAGUGGCGAACGGGUGAGUAAUGCAUCGGAACGUAUCCUGGAGUGGGGGAUAACGUAGCGAAAGUUACGCUAAUACCGCAUAUUCUGUGAGCAGGAAAGCGGGGGACCUUCGGGCCUCGCGCUCUUGGAGCGGCCGAUGUCGGAUUAGCUAGUUGGUGAGGUAAAGGCUCACCAAGGCGACGAUCCGUAGCGGGUCUGAGAGGAUGAUCUGCCACACUGGAACUGAGACACGGUCCAGACUCCUACGGGAGGCAGCAGUGGGGAAUUUUGGACAAUGGGGGCAACCCUGAUCCAGCCAUGCCGCGUGAGUGAAGAAGGCC